AACGAACGCUGGCGGCGUGCCUAACACAUGCAAGUCGUGCGAGAAAGUUCCUUCGGGAGCGAGUAAAGCGGCGCACGGGGUGAGUAACACGUAGGUAACCUGCCCCCCAGUCUGGAACAACUUAGAGGAAACUCUAGCUAAUGCCGGAUGAGACCACGAUCCCUUCGGGGGUUGCGGCCAAAGAUGGCCUCUACUUGUAAGCUAUCGCUGAGGGAUGGGCCUGCGGGCCAUUAGCUUGUUGGUGAGGUAACGGCUCACCAAGGCUGUGAUGGCUAGCUGGUCUGAGAGGAUGACCAGCCACACUGGGACUGAGACACGGCCAGACUCCUACGGGAGGCAGCAGUAGGGGAAUAUUGCGCAAUUGGGCGAAAGCCUGACGCAGCGACGCCGCGUGGGUGAUGAAGG
rnacentral:rRNA from 1 species